rnacentral:rRNA from 1 species
AUUGAACGCUGGCGGCAGGCCUAACACAUGCAAGUCGAGCGAGCGGCGGACGGGUGAGUAAUGUAUGGGGACUGCCCGAUAGAGGGGGAUAACUACUGGAAACGGUAGCUAAUACCGCAUACUAUCGGAUAACCCAUAUGGGAUUAGCUAGUAGGUGAGGUAAUGGCUCACCUAAGCGACGAUCCCUAGCUGCUCUGAGAGGAUGAUCAGCCACACUGGGACGAAGAAACUGCCCAGACUCGCAGAGAGGACGCAGUGGUGAAUCUUGCACAUAGGGCGCAAGCCUGAUGCAGCCAUGCCGCGUGUAUGAAGAAAGCCCUAGGGUUGUAAAGUACUUUCAGUCGGGAGGAGUGAGCGACAGAAGAAGCACAGGCUAACUCCGUGCCAGCCGCCGCGGUAAUUC